AUGUAAGCAUUUAUGUUGUUUUAUUUGCUUCCCACACAUUUUAGUAUAUUGUGGUUCUGUUUUCAUUCAGUUCAAAAUAUUUUAACCUUUUGGUGAUUCUUCUUUGAGCCAUGGGUUACUUAGAUUUGUGUCUUUUAAUUUUCAAACAUUCCAAAAUGUAUAGGAUUUUUCAGAUACCUUUCUGUCUAAUUAAAUUCUGUUGUGAUCAGAAAACAACUCUAUAUGCUUUUAAUCCUUUUUAAAUUUAUUAAGACUUCUUUUGCUCCAGGUAGUUUAUCUUGGUACAUUUACAUUUGAUUCUUUUUAAAAUAAUUUUCCAUUUCCUCCCUCAUUAUGUUCAUGUUUUCCUUUAGGUCUUUGAGCAUAUUUAUUACAUUUAUUAUAAUAGUUGCUUAAUGUCUUUACUAUUAUAUAAUCUUUGUCUUUUCUGGGUCUGUUUAUAUUGGCUGAAUUUUCUCCUGGUAAUCUGCUACAUUUUCCUUUAUGUCUGCAUGUUUAAUACUUUUUUAUUGGAUGCCAGACAUUAUGAAUGUUACAUUGUUGACCGCUGGAUUUUGUUCUAUUCUUUUAAAGAGUGUUGGACUUUGUUUUGAGGGGCUUGUGGUUCAAUUUGAUCCUUCCAAGGUUUAAUUUUACUUUAUUUUGGUUUGUUUGUUUUUAAAGUUUAUUUAUUUAUUUUUGAGAGGGAAAGAGAGAGAGAAAAAGCAUACAUACCUACAUACACACAUGAGUGUAGGAGGGGCCGAAGGGGGGAGAGAGAAUCCCAAACACUGAUAGUGCAGAGUCUCACAUGGGGCUCGAUCCCCCAAACCACGAGAUCAUGACCUGAGCCAAAAUCAAGAGUUGGAAGUUUAAUCAACUGAGCCACCCAGGCACCCCCGGUUUUUUUCUUUUAAUGAGGAGGGCAUCUAGUAUAGGCUUUACUUUAGGUCUAAUGUAGGACCAUUCAUUCCUCUCUGGCUGGUGGGAACUAAAAAGAUGUCUUCCCUUUGUGAGCUCUAGGAAUCAUUCAGUUUACAAUUUUCUGGUAGUUGUUCUUUCCUCAGAAGCAGUUUUUGCCUGGUCUUCUGCAGUUCCACAUGUGUAGGAUUCAAUAGAUUGUAGAUUUCUGAAGAUUUCUGUAGAUUUCUGAAGCUCUUUUUUUGGGUGGUUUUUUGUUUUGCUCUGUCUUACGAAUUUUAGUCACCUCACUCUCCUUGUCUUCUUAGCUCUGAUCUCUUCCUGCUCAACUAAGUGAUAUAGUCCAACUAAGUGAUUGAGUUCCUCCUCCCUGUGCCUGUCUGGAGGUCUGGAAACUGCCUCCACACAGAAAGCCAACAGGACAGUUUGGGGCUCCCCUCAUUACUUCUCUUCUCUCAGGGAUCACAGUUCUGUACUACCUGUAGUCCGGUAUCUGAGAACAGUUAUUUCAUAUAUUUGGCCAGUUCCUAGCUGUUUGUGACAGGUAAGUCUGAACCCUCUUGCUCUCUUACUGCCUUGUAUAUCCAUUAGUUUUUAUAAAAACUGGGUAUCUGGUAUGGUUGUUAAAUAAGACUUUUUUCUCCUUUCUUGAUCUCAUUUCUGAGUAGAAUUUCUGGGAGGCUCAUUUGGAGUAGGGACUCUUGGGGGGAGAGUAUCUUUUAUCUGGCUUUACUUUUGAGUGAAUGGGAAAACUGGCUGUCAGGAUUAGAUCCCCCAAAUGCCAUAAUAAGAAAGGUUUUAUCCCAAUAUCUGUGUUCUGGGGAUGCUGACCACUGCAGUUACCUGGUACAGACCUUCAGUUGACUCCCCUGCUUGGGCUGCGUUUCUUUCUCCCUUUCUCCACCAUACCUGCUGGCUCAGUCCAGCUCCUGCUUCCUCCACAGUGCCCUCAUAGCUUAUUCCAAGGCAGUGGCCUUCCCUUCAGUAAAAAUAUUUGAGCAUGCCACUGAUACUCACUGACUUAGAGAAAUUAUAUCCAUAUACAUUUACCUAUGUUAAAAAAUAACUGUUCUUAUAAUUAGAAUAUAUUUUCUUAAUAUGGUUCCUGAAUUACACAUUUGCCACUUUGGAGACCACUGUCUUUUUGGUGACUUUCUCUGUCAAUUUCCUCCGUUAACUUGCUUCUAUUUAUUUUUGGUUAUCCAGAAAAUCUACUCAACUCUCAAUUUUUUGAUGAUACCUUUCUUUACUUAUAGGUUUUCUUUCUUUUACUUCGGUAGUAUCUUAAAGACUAGAGGCAGAUGUUUGUGAUGGGUCUGCCAUUUUGAACGGGAAGUCCAUCUGAUAUGUUUCUGAAAAUAAAUUUUUAAAUAAUUAAAAUAUCAUUAUUUCUUACAGUUUAGUUUGCUUUCCUGAGUGGGAGCAGAAGGAUGGAGCUAAACGUAGUGGCCUGAGAAUUGCUUAUAACCUUCAGGAAGUUUUAUUAAUGUAGCAGUCUUUACAUUUGGAUAUGUUGAAAGUAGUGUGACUCAAGGAAGGAGCCCGCAGAUUUCACCAGGAGCAAACAAAGUUGAAGAACGUGCUCUGGAGACAUAUGGAGUUCAUGUGAGAUAGACUUCUCCUAUAUUUUUGUGACAUUCCGUAAUUUUAGCAACAGUCUAAUCACCUGGAAAAGAGCCAUGAAUGUAGAGGAAACAUUUUCACAGUCUGCUAAUGGCACCUGGUUAUCUACCAUCAUUGUUAUUUCUAGGUUUUCAUAUAGCAUCCCAACAGCUAGUGUAAACCCAUAACAAGCAAUAACUAAUUUGACAUCAUUAUUGGGAAUGUUAGUCAAUUGAUUUUUCUUAAGAGAAACAAACUGAAAAGAUAAGCCCACUAUGAAUUAAUUCUUUGUAGGAAUUUCCCAUGUCUGAUGAUUUAAAAGAAUAAAUUCUGCAUGUAAAUGAAUCAUUACAAGCUUAAUUGAAGCUUGUUGGAUAUUCAAGAUUACUCACUGUGGUGUGUUUCUGAUGGAGACAGGAAGUGAAAAAGCAAAGUAUGAGAUUUUUUUUUUGUGCAUGAAGUCUCAGCCAGUCUUUUAAUGUUUCUCAUUGAGGCUUUGGUCUCUAGGGUAAAUGACUCAAGGUAUCUAUUGCUGCUUAGCUGUUUUUAAGGGGGAAUUUCCCCCCACAGUCCUCCCCUCCCCAAAAUAGCUAAUUAUAUACUGGAAGUUUCAGUACAUUGUUCACAGUUUGUGAAGUCAGCAUAUUUCUGGAAGCUCACUGUGAAUGUAAUUCUUAGCUGUACUGAUGCUUUUGUUUCUCCAUCUCUGCAGCCAGCACUGUACUGUAAGGACACAAUUCUAUCGCUAUUUUUUCCUUCACAUUUGAUGUGGUAGUUUGCAUACAGCUGCAGAGUAGACAGUUACCUUUGAAAGGAACAUUUGGCUGCUCUAAUUUGAUUAAAGAAAACCACCUCAAUCAUUUCUAGACUGAGAACGUUUUCAUUUUAACUUGGCAGUAGGAGUUGGGAAUGUACUCACUGCACUUAGAUAUGUGGGGGAGCAGUCAGGGAACAAAACCAACUGCUCGAAUGGAGAAAGCUUUGGUGCAACUUUUUUUUUUUUUUUUUUUGAGGCAAGCGGUGUUUUAUAGGAUUGAUUUUCUUUCUCUUUCUCUCCCUAAUAUUCUACAGCCUUGAUUUUCACUUCUGUCCCCCUUUCACGUUUGUUUUUUUUUAAAUCAGCAAUUGCAGUAAACUGAUUGUGGCAGGGGUAGGAUAUUACCCUAAUGUGAUUUGAAGGACUUUGAGGUCCUCAAAAAAUUAUUCCAUUUUUAUAUAAAGAGAAAACCCCAAAUCAUAAAUGACUAUGAAUUGCACAUGCUUUCCUGGCCGCUAUUGAAUGGCUAAAAAAGUUUUUAGAGCAUGUGUAUACUGACAACGGUUGGGAAUUUAGUGGAAACUUGCAUGGAAGAAAAUUGCUUAUUGUUGGAAGCCUGCAGCCCUAGCUCUAGACAAUUACCAAUUAUGUCACAUGUGUCUACUUUGCUUCUGAGAUACCAGGUCUGAUCACACAGCUAGUAUGACAGUUGAAAAUAUAUUCUGCUGAUUGUGGGUUGACAUCAACUUUAUACAUAUGUUACUGUGAAUGAUUGAGCAGGAGCUUUGUUUGUAGGGUAAUCCAUGGAUGCAUUCAGCAUGAACCACAGUUCAGCAAUGUAGUAUAUGGUGUUCUUGGGCAAGGUGCUAUGUUGGCAUCCUAAAAAGUUUGAACGCAAAGUUUUAAAUAAAAAGUGUGAGGGUAUACAUGCAGUCUUGGAAAUACAACAAUGUUAUUUUUUUUUUAGUUUUUUAUAUUUAUUUUGAGAGAGAGAACAUGGGCAGGGGAAGGGCCCAGAGAGAGGGAGAGAGAGAAUCCCAAGCAGGCUCUGUGAUGUGGGGCUCGAAACCACAAAACUGCGAGAUUAUGACCUGAGUGGAAGUCAAGACUCCAUCACUCAACCAACUGAGCCACCCAAGUGCACCCAACCAUGUUAUUAUUAAUUGACCCUUGGAUGUUAUUGAUAACCUUAGAGUUGAGGUCAAAUGUGGGCUCACAUUCUCAUUCUACCAUGUGACAGUAUGACUUGACCACAUUAUACUUCUCUCACCUCUAAGCUUCAGCUUUUUCAUUUGUAAAAUUAGCACACAUAUUAAAUGAUGUUUCUAAAUUUAGGUUCCUGUUAUGUUUUUGACACUUGGCAAAUAUUUAGAUACCUCACUGCCUCUUCCUCUUCUCCUUGGUAUCACUACUCAACUACUUGUAAUGUUUUGAGGGAGGGUUUUGUUCAUGGAAUGUGUGGCUGAACUCAACAAAGUCCCCUUGAAAUUCUAAUAUUAUGUGCAGCUCUUAUUCUCUUGGACAAAAUGAUUAAGUCCAGCGGGACUCUAUCCAGUCUGCCUAGUUUUCCUAUGGGUAAUAAGCCCUAGGCAGACAUUAUAUCAGGUACUAGUUAGGAUAUAAGCACAGAGGACAUGAGAAUUGUUCAGCAAAUGUUAGCUGUUUGGUAGAGUUAUGUUGUCAUCUUGAGUUCUUUUCCAUCUUAUGUCAUCUUUGGGUGCUAAAAUCAUUUCCACAUUUAAUCUCAAGAUUUAAUGAAGUCGCCUUGGUCUGUUCUUCCUUUUGGGAAUUAAGGCCAAGAGGCAGUCUUCCUGUUUUGUUUUCACACACAGUCAGAAGAAUAUAAAUCUCUUCAGUCACAUCUGCAUUAUCUAAGCAUACAAGGAUGGCAAAGGGACUGAAAAGAUGAUUGUCCAAAGGCAGCUACUACAUCUGGAUUUGGCACCCCAAGAUUUCUAAGGCCCCUAAAUAGCAAGAACUUCACUGCUUCCAAGUAAGCAAAAGUAAAAAUUCCUACAGAAAACAUAGCCCUGACCUUUUUGCACAUGUAAUCCAAACGAAAAGUUAGCUUUGAAGUGGCGUUUUGUUACAUAAUCAUACUGAAAAUAUGCAGUAAUAUGUAUUCCUUUGAAUGUCUUUCAUUCAGAAACAUAUUUUUGUUUAUUUGACUAUCCUACCAGCUGAAAAUGGAUUAUGUUCUGGUUGUUCAUCUAACCACCCAACCUCAAAAUACUUGAGAAAUUACAUGAAGAGCUUCAUUCCAAAGCAUAACAUUUUCAGAGAGAUUCAGACCAUUUGGAAAGUUGAACAUGGAAUUUCACUCCAUAGAUGAUUAAAAUAAAAAGCAAAUAAUAGGAGAAAAUAAACAGAAUUUACAAACCUAGUGUUUGCCAGACAGAACACCUGUCCAAUCAGUAGUAAAUUAUUUUAAAGAGCAUUUACUUUCUAGAAGGUACUUAAUGUGGAUCAUUUGUUUCAGACAUGUCUGUAUACAUUUCUACCAGACUAUUUGGUCAGCUCAACAUUAGGGAACAGAGCAUUCAAAAGCAUCACAAAUCAUUACAAAGAGUAUGAAAAUUAUGACCAGUACAGGCAAAAACAAAUGAAAGCCCUUCUUUUCUUGGGUGUUCUCUGAGAUGCUGCUAUAGAAAUCUGAGAAUUGAUAGCAUAUGCUUAAGACUCCCAAGUUUCUGGUGCUGCCCACAACAAUACAAAAACUGACAUUUUGAUUCCUUCUGCAUUUCUCCUCAUCUGAUUUAGUGAGCACUCUGUAUAUUGAGGUAUGGCAAGAAAUUCUACUUAUCACAGAAAAAGAAAAAUACCAUAUGAGAUUUCUAAUUUUUGUAAUUGUUUGACAUUUGUAGGGAAGUCUUUUUGUUAACUUGCAUAAUUGAGGAAUCAAGCACUCCAGUUAAUAAGGAAACCUAGUUAAUAGAAAGUUGUCAUCUCUUCUGACCAUUAAGACCCAUUUUCAAAGAAUUCAGAUAUGACAGAUACACUUAACACUAAAACUCAUAACAUAAAAACUCAUAAUUUAAUACUUUAGUGAUUAUUGAGAAAAUAUUUCAAGAUUUAUACUUUACUGUAAUCCUUCUGAACUACAGUUAUGAUGAACACUGACUAUUCCUGCUAUUUAGAGAAUUAUAGUUGACAAAAUGUUAGCUUGGUUAUAUGAUUUGGCUAUCCAUGCUAGAGGAGAGAAGGCCUUCAGUCAUGUCUUUUAAAGAAACAAAAUCUAUUGCAUUAUGUUUUGGUUAGGUAUAAAAUUUCGCUCUUUAAAUUUAGAGAUUAUGGAGGGAAAGGUUGAGAGGUUGAGAUGCUAGUAGUGAAGGGCAGGCAGGGAGUUUAGAUCGAGAAUAAAGUAAUGAAAACUGAGAAGACAAAUGUAUAAGAAGAAGAAAGUUCUGAAUGUAUAGAUGUAAAUAAAGUAGAGAAUGACCAAAAAAACCCAGAAGAGACCAAAUUAAAGAAAUUAUUUCUUAAAGUUUUAAAAUAUCAUGAGGUCAAAAUUAGUAUGGCAAAGAACUCCUGGUUCUGAGAGAGUAACCCUAGAAAAGACAGAAAGAAAAAAAUGAAGUUAAAGGAGAAAAUAGAAGAAGAAAAAAAGCCCACCUAAAACUGCAAGAGAGUAAGAAAGAAUUAAAAUGAGUUUGGAUCCAAAAUUGGUAAAAACUAUAACUUCAGUAUGGUUUAUCUUAAAUUGUUCACCUGUUACCCCAAACCUCAACAAACAUAGAUUUGUUUGUUCUUUUCAUGUGGGAAACAUAAGGAAAAUUCAUCUUGUACUCAUCAGGUUUUGGUCUUUUUUUUUUUUAUUUAAAAAAAAAAUUUUUUUUUUUUUAACGUUUAUUUUUUUUUGAGACAGAGAGAGACAGAGCAUGAAUGGGGGAGGGUCAGAGAGAGGGAGACACAGAAUCUGAAACAGGCUCCAGGCUAUGAGCUGUCAGCACAGAGCCCGACGCGGGGCUCAAACUCAUGGACCGUGAGAUCAUGACCUGAGCCGAAGUCGGACGCUUAACCGACUGAGCCACCCAGGCGCCCCCAGGUUUUGGUCUUAUUGUAGAAAAAGGGAGAUAAAAGAGUUGUUAUACUUGACAUGCAAAUAAGAGUUUUUGGUCUGUUCCACAUUUUUUUUUUUAACAUUUAUUUAUUUUUGAGACACAGAGCAUGAGCAGGGUAGGGGCAGAGAGAGAGGGAGACACAAUCUGGAAGCAAGCUCCAGGCUCCAAGCUGUCAGCACUGAGCCUGACGUGGGGCCCGAACUCAUGAAUCGCGAGAUCAUGACCUGAGCUGAAGUCGGAUGCUUAACCGACCAAGCCACUCAGGCGCCCCAAGUUCCACAUGUUUUAAAGUUACUGUUGGUUUUCAUUAAUAGCAUUACUUUUUUU